rnacentral:rRNA from 1 species
GACGAACGCUGGCGGCGUGCUUAACACAUGCCAGUCGAACGGUGAAGGGGUCUGCUUUUGUGGGCCCUGGAUGAGUGGCGAACGGGUGAGUAACACGUGAGUAACCUGCCCCCUUCUUCUGGAUAACCGCAUGAAAGUGUGGCUAAUACGGGAUAUUCUGGGUCUGUCGCAUGAUGGGUCUGGGAAAGAUUGCGCCUUUGGGUGUUUUUGGUGGGGGAUGGGCUCGCGGCCUAUCAGCUUGUUGGUGGGGGGAUGGCCUACCAAGGAGGUGACGUGUAGCCGGCCUGAGAGGGUGGACGGUCACACUGGGACUGGGACACGGCCCAGACUCCUACGGGAGGCAGCAGUGGGGAAUAUUGCACAAUGGGCGCAAGCCUGAUGCAGCGACGCCGCGUGAGGGAUGGAGGCCUUCGGGGUGUAAACCUCUUUCGCCAGUGAAGCAGGCCUGCUCCUUGUGGGUGGGUUGACGGUAGCUGGAUAAGAAGCGCCGGCUAACUACGUG